rnacentral:rRNA from 1 species
GUACUCCGGGGAUAACAGGCUGAUACCGCCCAAGAGUUCAUAUCGACGGCGGUGUUUGGCACCUCGAUGUCGGCUCAUCACAUCCUGGGGCUGAAGUAGGUCCCAAGGGUAUGGCUGUUCGCCAUUUAAAGUGGUACGCGAGCUGGGUUUAGAACGUCGUGAGACAGUUCGGUCCCUAUCUGCCGUGGGCGCUGGAGAACUGAGGGGGGCUGCUCCUAGUACGAGAGGACCGGAGUGGACGCAUCACUGGUGUUCGGGUUGUCAUGCCAAUGGCACUGCCCGGUAGCUAAAUGCGGAAGAGAUAAGUGCUGAAAGCAUCUAAGCACGAAACUUGCCCCGAGAUGAGUUCUCCCUGAGACUUUAGGUCUCCUGAAGGAACGUUGAAGACGACGACGUUGAUAGGCCGGGUGUGUAAGCGCAGCGAUGCGUUGAGCUAACCGGUACUAAUGAACCGUGAGGCUUAACCUUACAACGCCG